rnacentral:rRNA from 1 species
UGGGGAAUAUUGCACAAUGGGCGAAAGCCUGAUGCAGCAACGCCGCGUGCGGGAUGACGGCCUUCGGGUUGUAAACCGCUUUCAGCAGGGACGAAGGUUUUCUGACGGUACCUGCAGAAGAAGCACCGGCUAACUACGUGCCAGCAGCCGCGGUGAUACGUAGGGUGCGAGCGUUGUCCGGAAUUAUUGGGCGUAAAGAGCUUGUAGGCGGUCCGUUGCGUCGGAAGUGAAAACUCAGGGCUUAACCCUGAGCCUGCUUUCGAUACGGGCGGACUUGAGGGAUGUAGGGGAGAACGGAAUUCCUGGUGGAGCGGUGGAAUGCGCAGAUAUCAGGAGGAACACCAGUGGCGAAGGCGGUUCUCUGGACAUUUCCUGACGCUGAGAAGCGAAAGCGUGGGGAGCAAACAGGCUUAGAUACCCUGGUAGUCCACGCCGUAAACGGUGGGCACUAGGUGUGGGACCCAUUCCACGGGUUCCGUGCCGUAGCUAACGCAUUAAGUGCCCCGCCUGGGGAGUACGGCCGCAAGGCUAAAACUCAAAUGAAUUGACGGGGUCAUAGCUG